UUUUAUGGAUGAGCUGGAAGUGGUUUCCUGAGAUGGAAUCUACUCCUGGUGAAGAUGCUGUGAA
rnacentral:pre_miRNA from 1 species